rnacentral:rRNA from 1 species
CUUCACUGUAGGCUGAUACUGGGUCUAGAUUAUUCUUGUGUAGGAUAGGUGGGAGGCUAAGAAGUCGGUACGCUAGUACUGAUGGAGCCAACGUUGAAAUACCACCCUGGGAUCAUUUGGAUUCUAACUUCGUAUCGUGAAUCCGAGCGAAGGACAAUGUCAGUUGGGCAGUUUGACUGGGGCGGUCUCCUCCAAAAGAGUAACGGAGGAGCCCAAUGGUACCCUCAGCCUGGUUGGCAAUCAGGCGUCGAGCGUAAAGGUAGAAGGGUGCUUGACUGCGAGACCUAUAAGUCGAGCAGAAACGAAAGUUGGGCUUAGUGAUCCGGCGGUGCUGGAUGGAAAGGCCGUCGCUCAUCAGAUAAAAGGUA